UUAAACAAAAAGCUUGACACCAAACAGUUAACUCUUAAAGACUCCUUAGAAGGGCAUUUAAAAUGGAGAUAUAAUAAUCCUGACCAAAUUAAAGGAGAGCAAUUGUUGAUAUAUUGGCUUUGUGAUGCCUUAAAACCAUAUAAAACAGUCUCAAAUGACCAGUUCCUAAAAACUAUAAACCAUCUGUCAAAAAAAUUUAAAGUACCAUCAGAAAAAAUAUUUGAACAAAGCUUGUUCCAAACAUCAACAGAAGAGUUCAAUAUGCAGUAAAAUCAUUACUUGAUGCUACAGCAUAUGCUAUCACUACUGACAUUUGGACUUCUCCAAGUAAUGAUUCUUUUAUGUCAUUUACUGCUCAUUGGGUAACAGAAGACUUUAAAAAAAAAUUGCAGCCCUCAGAUGUACUUCAUUCAAAAUAUCUCAUACUGGUUGGAAUAUUUCAGAAGCUUUAAAGAACAUCUGUAAAGAUUGGGGACUAAAUAAUAUUCAUAUUGUUAUUAGAGAUAAUGCAAGCAAUAUGAUUUUAGCAACAAAAACUUUCUGGUUUUGAAAGCAUAGGCUGCUUUUGCCAUAUACUACAUUUAGUGGUACGAAACUCAAUAUAUGAGCAGAGUGGGAUCAAAAUAAUGCUAAUGAGAUUAAGAAAGCUGGGUAAAAAGUUGCGAAAAACCAAAGGCAAAAGCAAUACUUACCAAGUACCAGAGCCAAGCAUCAGUCCUACCUAAUGUCAUGAUACUUGAUUGUGAAACAAGAUGGGGGAGUACAUUUUUAAUGUUGGCUUGUGUAAUGCAACAAAAACAAGCUAUAAAACUUG